UGAGUGCUAAAUAUUAUAGGAGACUCAACACAGGCGAACUGAAAGAAUUUAACUCCGUCAAGAAGAUAUGAUAUGAUAUAUGAUGCCUAAUUUACCUUUCACUUAUCUGGGAUAACUUUUAAUAUUUAACAUAUUGUAGAAAUUUAGCCAAUCAGAGAUCUAAGAACUCAAAAUUUACCCAAUAACAACUGUAGAGCACAUCGAAAUCAACCAAUGAAAUCGGGCCACCAAAUGAUCUUAAUACACGUCAAUCACUCUACACAACGGUAGAUGCCCUCAAGACUCGAAAGUGAAAGGAAGGAAAAGAAGCUAAUUUUCUCUUGAGAAUUUACUAUGAGCAAUCAUAAAGAAUGCAACCAAAGUCGUAUCCUAGUUGAAAUUUGAAGCAAAGAUAAAACGGUUCGCUAUCAAAACAACUGGAAGAGAACAAAGGAGGAGUAAGGAUAUUCAAAUGAAAGCAACAGACAGAAACGUCUUUUUAUGGAUUUACUUGUGCACACAUUCAAAAUUUUUGGCCUUUUUUCUUAAAUCUUUGCACUAAAAGUUUGUUUAACACUUUUGUUGUGCAAUCAUUAUCUUCGUAUUUUGCUGCUGGUAGACGACUACUAGCUAUAAGUUUAGGGUAGAAAUAAUUAGAUAAUAAAUCAAAAAAACAAUUGUUGUGAACGAUCUAUCCGAAAACGAUGUUCAGAAGCAUUUAAAGAAGUCUAUAUGACUUCCUCCAUUUGAAAUGUGUAAGGGAUUAAAACAAACAUUCCUUCAUGAAACAAAACUAAAUGUUGUGUGCAUGUGCCAACGAUUUUGAUUAAAUUUUUAAGUCAAAUCCAGUGGUGUGAAUGAUAUUUCAAAAAUCAACGCUCAAUGACAUAUAAAGAAGUCUAUAAGACUUCCUUCUUUUAAAAUGUAUAGAUAUGAAAAGAAGCCUUCAUUUGUAGAAAUUUACUCAUGAAUCAAAAGUAAAUAUUGUGUGCAUUUUUAAGCAAAAUGCUUCUGAGUUUAAAGUAUACAAGUAUUAGCAAAUCUAGUGUUGUGAAUGAUCUAUAUAAAGAAAAAAUAAACGUUCAAUGGCGUA